CAAGACACUUCUUUGGAUUCAGUUGGAAUGUUGCUUCCAGGUCUGGGCAAUGUGCUUUAAGAAGGAUGUGCAAUCUUUGGAAAGAAUGCAGAAAGGAUUCACAAGAAUGGUUCCCGGGAUGAGGAACUGCAGUCAUGAAGCUAGAUUGGAGAAGUUAGUAUAAUUUUCCUUGGAGAAGAGGAGAUUGAUCUUCUCUGGCUGCAGAUACUAUUACACAGGCACCGGAAAACCAUUGGCUUCCAACUCAGUGGCAGUGACAGCAUCAGCGGUGGCAAGUGCGCCCAGCGUGGAUUCGAGUCAGCCCAGUACGGACUUGUGGCAAUGGCUACAGAACAUGCCGAACAAGCCAGACAUUGAAAAUUCUUGAUAUGGAUGUCAGAAAACUCAUCGACUUUAGCUCGCUGCUUGCCUCAAAGGAUCUCAUUGCACAGCUGCCACACACACACCAUUUAUCCUCACUGAACCUGAAGAAGGAGCGAGACUCUGAAAGCUUGUGUCUUCAAAUUAAACCUGUUGGACUAUAACCUGGUGCCUUGUGAUUUUUGACCUUGUGAAUGCUUGGCAUUCACCGUGUACCAGCCUCUGACAACCCUUAUGGCACAUAUCUAAUUCACCUACAGGACCGCUUCCGACACUAACUCACUCAGAGCCUACUGGCUGCUCACAGCAUCCACACUUUGCCUUUUUGCAUUUUUUGCUCCUCAGCC